AUGAUGAGCCUGCAUCACCGGACCCGAGCCAUGACAGCACUCAGAGUAAAAGAGGGCAUUAUGGGUGCCAUUGCAUCAUCCAGGUGGUUGAGGAGAUUUCCACAACCUGUGCUUCAUGUGAACGUUGAAGAAAACAUCUGUACAAGUGCAUGGACAUACACAUUUGUUUUGUCACCAAGAGUGAUUGACCAGCCAUUUACUCUCUGAGCAAGUCUUUAGAGGUUGACACUGGAAUUACUUUAGUUAUUCUAAUGUUUGAUGGCAAUCUUUUGCCAGGGCUAGUUUUGUUGAAAGUACCAAGUUGAUACUGAAACUAAAAAAUGUAACAGUAGGUGCUGUGUUCGAACACUUGCAUUGAACACUGCAGCCAAUCACAGACAUUUAUGUCAAGAGCAUGAAUACAGUGGCCAAUCAGAUGUGUUUAAGUUAGUAAGAAUCCAUUUCAUACCUAUCAAAGCGGAUGUUUUUGUUCAGCGCGAGUUCAGACUAGUACUGCAUGCCCGCAAAUCCUAAAUAGUGUGACACACUGAUCAUCGUAGCAAUGAACUGGACAAAAAUUAUGACAUGUCUAAAUAGAUUUGUGCAUUAAAACUUGGAAUACAAAUACAGAUUUUAAGAGCAGUGUUUACUUUUAAAAAUAGUUGAUGUUUUGUUGGUUUAAUGCAGUGGUUCUCAAACCUCUCCAUGAAGUACCCCCAGCACUUCACGCUUUGUAUGUCUCUCUAUAUCUGACACACCCGCUUCAGGUCUUGCAGUCUCCACUAAUGAGCUGAUGAGUUGAAUGAGGUGUGAUAAUUGAGGGAGACAUACAAAAUGUGCAGGGCAGGGGGUACUGCAGGACAGGUUUGAGAACCACUGGUUUAAUGUAUUACUGUAUUUACUUAACAAAUAUAAUUGACAUAUAAUUGAAAUAUAAUUUUACAUUUUUAUUUUCUAUUAGAGUUUAAAUAGUUUUUGUUACCAGUUUGGUACCAACCAGGAUUUUUUGUACCAAAAUCUGUGUAUCCUUCGUUCAUUCUUUUUUUAUUUAAUAUUGAAACUAGAAAAACAUUGCUUUUUAUUCUGAAAUAUAAAAUAAAUCUUUCAUUAAAUGAAUAUAAAACA
ensembl:lncRNA